rnacentral:lncRNA from 1 species
GAUGAUGAAGUAGUCCCGGUCGGAGAAGGGCGACGACGGCCGAUGCAGGGUUCCGGGUCGGCUAACGUGCAGUGGGCGGUCGGAGGGGCUGCCUCAUCACGCGAGGUCGUCGGGUCGGUGUAGAGGCCAGAUCGCGCCAAUGUCGAAGUAGAGGCAUGAUGGUCGACGGCACCGGUGGGCGACACAAACCGAUCUUAGAUCGGAAAACCAAAAAGGAAGAGUGUCGAUCAAGACACCGGCAUGAGAGAGAAAACCCUGAUCAAGAGAUCGGGAAAAAGAAUCUCUAGGGCACCCGAUCAAUAGGACCAGCAGACGAACCCUAGGUACGGGUGGCGCGGCCCCCAUCGAUGGUCAUGGAGGCCGACCACCCAGGGGCGGCGCGCGGGGCGGAAACGGUGGCGGCGGCUAGGUCAAGAAACUUGCAGCAGAUACCAUGUUAUAAGGGAGAGAAGGAUUGGUGGAAUAGUUCAUGUAUUGCUUGAGCCUCAUGGGCAUAUAUAUAGGAGUACAUGAUCAACUUGGAGUACAAGACAAGCCAUAAUAAUUCCUAGUCUAUCCCAUGUUUCCUAACUAAUCACAAUACUCAACAGGUUGUUUUCCGCCAGUCUCUUCCACUCGUGGUAUAUGUGUGAAUUUUUAUUUAUAUAAACACUAACAUCAAAGGAUAUAUAUUACUUUGUCUUUUCUCAUUAGAUUGAGUAUAUAACACUGAUGCAUAGUCUUUUAAUUAUAUCUUGGCAUAAAUGGUUACACACGUUGCCCUAGAUCUAUAUAAUCUUUUUAUGAUCUGAUGCAUCUCAGUCUUAUAUAUUGUUUUAUAUUCGCAGACAGCGAUGAACUGCGAUGUUUGGUGGAACCUCGGUUGUCAUGUGGGUGAAUCCGUUGUUGACCGCUCUUUCUUGAUUGUCCCUUUGCCUCGUUGUUAUGAGUCGUACCUAGUAAAUUCUAGGUACUGGUAACAAGAACAUUUGUUUUGUGCCUUUCCUUCUACCGUUCUUACAUAAGGAAUAAUAUUAAUUGAGCAAUAUAAGAGAUAUAAAUAAUGACACAUAAUCAUUCUUGUUAGUAGCUUUUUGGCAUGGUUGUUUUGAUUUAUGAAUCAUACUUAAUUUUUCUUCUUAUUUGGCAGUAUGUCCCUUGCUAUUACCAGAAGCAGGUCCUCUCUUUGAUUUCUUUAUGGAAAGAAGAAGCUUUAGAUGAUGGUUUUGAAGAACAUGGUUUGAACCUUGUGUUUGGCACCGACAAGGAGUUGUCACACCAUAUUAAGUUUACCGAUUUCGCUAAGAGGUCCAAGUUUCGUGGUCCUCGUGGGAAAAGAUGAUACACGACUAUGAUCUUUGUUACGAUAAUAUUAUUACAUUGGAUUUGCAAGGCGAAGAUUUCUUCUUUCACAUUGAAAUGAAGUUGAAUGAAGCUCGAGGGAGUCACAAAGCCGUUCCCAAACCUAUUAUUGGUAUGUUACACUCGCCUAUCAAAAGACCAUGUGAUCUGAAUCUCGACGAAGAUCGUCGGACUAAAUAUUUGUUUUUACCAUGUAGUGUGAGAUUUGUCCUUUAUAGUGACCUUGUAGUCAAUAUUUCUAAGCAUGUCGUAUUUAACUUUUCAAUUCAUUCUGACAUAUUGAUUUACCAUGCAGCCACCAUUUUUUGCAUCACACAUGUUGACUUAUAGAUGAUUUUAUUGUUCAGCUCCUGAAGAUAUCAGUAUAUCCCACAGAAGGUACAUAUACAAGAAUGUCUACACCCGAGGCAUAAAACUUUCAUAUACUAAAAUGGUGUGCGUGACCAACCUUGUUAUAAGUGCUAAGGACAUCCUUGUGAUUGCCUUCGUGCACUGUCUAAAUUUUAGCAAUGUUCAGAAAGGCCGUUUGGUUAGUCAUUUUUAUUUACAAGCCAAGCUCCACAUGUCCUUCCCCUUGAUGCAAUGGCACAACUUACGAUGAUUUGUUUUUGUACGGAAAAUACCUAAUGUUGAUACCGAUGCUUUCAGGAUGAAGCUUGGAUAUUUUCCUCUAAAGGGAAGCAUCAGAUUUGCUGAACUUUCUAGUUCCGUCGAUUUGCCUGGCACAUACUGCUUGCACAAAGAUGGAAGGUUGGCAAUAUCCGGGUUUUCUGCUUUGACAAAUGCAGCUAGGUUAACAAUAAACUUGGUUGUGCUCUUCACAAUCCUCAAGGGAGUUGUGGACGAUAAGGAGUUGCUCUCACUUGUAAUUGAUGGUCUUUACAAGAAAAAUGUUUGAAGUGUGGUGCUUGCAGUAGGGCUUGGUUGCACAACCAAUCGUUCAACUUUUGUGUCGUUUGUUCGCCUGAUACACAACUACAGGUGGGACUAAGAAACCGUGGCUCUUCUGUAUGUAAACAUGUGUGUAUUUCUCGAUGAAAAGAUUUGCUUAUGUUGGUCGUGCGGCCGUGAUUCUCAGAGUGAAAGUGUGAGCGCAAUUUUCCAUGGUAAGACAUUACCCAGGGAGGACCGUCCAAGGGUGUACAAUUUAGCGGAAAUUCUUGCAAGGUGUGGAGCCAUACCUUUGACAACGAAGGUGUGGCUGGAAACAUUCGCAAUACUUGAAUUAAAAAUGACAUAUUAACUCUUAUACGUUUACACUAGUUUAUAUAUGUUGUACCAUAGAACUGCAAUAAACUUGUUUACUCCAUAAGCAAAUGCAUGAUUAGAACGGAAACUACAAUGCCAAGCAAACCUAUGUUUAGAAAAUGCAAACAACCUACUUGAUGUAAUGUAAAGCAAAUUUGAUCAGGAAUCUAAGAUGACUAGAGAGCAAUCCAUUAUUUUCAUGUCCGACACCAUCCAAAUCUUCACCAGUCGUAGUCUCCCUAGGUCCUGGCGCGCUUCUUGGACUUCUUCAUCUUUACGCAGCAAAGUCCUUCCUGAGUGAAAGUGAUGCGACUCCAUAUCUCAUAUGUGGUGUAAGUGUCCUUUGUUGCGUACUCGACGUGCUUCAUGGACAGGGGCAUGCAAUCCCAGCGAGUGUGAUCUGUGCUGGUCAGCUUCUGCUUCAUGGUCAUGUAGUAGUCAUGAAUGAGCAUGUUGGAGACGUCACCAAGCGAGUACAUAUACUUGGUGCUUUCGGGCACCCUCCAUUCUUUCUGAAUGUCGAUGAGGAGCGUGAUCUGCAGGCCCACACGGUCUAGCUUCUCGGUAUCCUGAUCGAUGGAGAAGCUAGCAAAAGUGUACCUUGAGUCGAGGAGAAAGUUGUCGAACACCGUGCACCUGUCUUCCAUAAUGCUCAGUUGGAAUACUAGCACCGGCUGGGUCUUGCCGACAGAGAGCUGGAUGAGGGCGGCCUUCUGCUUGUACUGAUUAACUCCGACGACCUAUAUGUGUUGUAUCUGGAGGUGCUGCUCGUACUGAUUGACAAUGGCCUCCACCAUCUGCAAGUCAUUGGUGUGGAUGACAUGCAGCUUGGUAGUGUCGUGAGCCGGAAGCUCCUUGAGUUCCCUGAUGAACCACAUGGCCUGCAGAACGGUUUUUGUGGAGAACGAUCAGCAGGGCACACUAGCGAUGUCGAUUGUAUGUGGAGGAGGAUGCAUGUGCGAAGGCCUAAAUUUAUGGCAUCGCAUGGCGGCAUCCGAUCAGUGCAUGAUCUCUCUGCCUAUGCGUUCGUACAGAUCGUCGGUUUGGGACGCAACCGCUCGGAGUGGUAAUCGUGGGUUGACGAGCGCUUGGAAUGGUAAUCGUUGCGAGGUGUACUCCCUAACUAGUGAUUUUGGGUAAUCAUGAGAUUUUUUAUCGAUGCACAUUUAUUCAUUGUAAAAUUUCCACCCCAAUUUUACAUCACGAGCGAGACUUUGUUUUAUAUAUGAAACAACUGUGGCCCAACCGUGGAAGUGCCACGUACACAUCCGUGCUUCUACCUAAUAAUAAUUUCGUGCUCCUGUUUUUCAUCAUGGAUGUUCCUACCUAAAUCCCAUGAUUUCAUAUUUUUCCCGUAUAAAUCCAUGCUUCGUGUUGCUGAACCAGUCAUGCCUGUCGCACGCUCACCCGUGGAUCUGCUAUGUACACACCCGUGCAUGUCCGUAGUAUAAAACCGUGCUUUGCAUUUCCUUAUACCACACGCUCACCCCGUGUAUUUACUGCAUACACACCCGUGCAUCUGACCCCUCACCCCCCUCCCCACUUAAGCCUUUCAUGAUUUUUUUGCAUUCGUGCAGUGAAUACGUAACCGUCUUUCCAAAUCUACCUCACAGAGCUCUGCUCAGACCUCGGAGUCAGCGCCACACCCCGACAAAUGGAAAUGGAGAUAGAUAUGAAUAUGGAGAUGUAGAUGAAGAGGAGGAUAAAAAUGGGGAUGGAGUUUGUUGCCUUUAGCAGCAACACGACGCCAUCCUUUAUGGUUUCGGCGGUGGUCCAAGGGGCGAGAAACGGAGAUGCCCCUCCAUCCAAGGAAGAAGAAGAUGAAUCUUGUUCGGACAUCAUCGGUGUCAUCCCGGACGCAAUCCUAAGUGAGGUCGUCUCCCGUUGCUCAAAAGACUUCAUGUAUUGAGAGUUGGAAUAUCCAAUAGUGCAAUGACCUACAUGAUCCACCACUGCUGCCCUGCACUAGAGUGGUUGUUGUUUGAACCCUUUGACAAUCACAUGUAAGUACGAAUAAACUCAAAAACCCUUUCAACAUAAUGCAUUCCUCAUAGAAAAAGAGGUGAGCUUAUCAUUGAGACGACCAUGAAACUAGUUGGUCGUUAUCCUCUACAAGAUCACUCGGCAAAGAGUAAAAUGUUUUCUCUUACUACACAUUGCUAGAGAGUAUAAAAUGUUGUUGCACCAAGAAAAAAGGAGACUAAGUAGUUUGGUUUUGGCAGUUGCGAGCUCCAUCGUGGGUGCACAGCACAAUAACAAUGUUGUUAACAAGGUUACAGAUUGAGCAUAGGCAUUGUUUUAGCACAAUAACAAUGUUGUUAACAAAGUUACAGAUUCAACAAAAGGUACAAGCAAUGUUUCACCACCCUUACGUAAAACCCAGACAGAAAAGUGGCGGCAACAUCUAGCCCCAAGACUGUUUUCAGCACUCACAAGUGAAUGUAUCCACUAAAUCCAGGUGCUCAAUGCGUGCGUCUCUUACAUCCAAGUGCUUGUGGUCGCAACUUGCCGACAACCUAAGGCGAGUAUAUUUAGAAGCCAUUUUGUCCCACUGAAGCACCUCUCGUUGUUGUUUGUAAAAUCCUUUCGUGAAGUAUUCCUGAGAAAGAAACUUAAUCCUCAUAGUCUCCAGCUGUCUUGCAUUGAGGAUAAAGAAUGUUGCAACUUGAAUGCUUCUCUCGCGUUGUAUAUAGCCUAAAAGCAUCACUGACUUCAAACAAACGCCGUAAUGGUGCUUACAAGAACAAUCAUUCGUAACACUUUCCUCAUUAGAGACUCCUCCCUAAAUAGGCACAAAUAUUUAAAAUGCUUAAGGUCUAUAAAGAAAAAUUCUAUUGAAACAACAAGUGAAUCAUUAAUUCUAAUUACCUCCGCUCUGAUAAAAGUUUUUUUAACUCUUUGGCUAGACACAGAUGUGUCUAAUACAUACAUAUUUGUCCAUGACAUACAAAUCUAAGACAAGCCUUUUUAGAUGAAUGGAGUAGUACACCAUGCAUGGUAUGUGUUUUCAUUGUGUGUGAGAAUGAUCACCUCGAUAUACAAGUUUCCAAGCUUCUGAAGCAUUGCACCAAGGCAACGAUUAUGGAUGUGUUGACUGCCGGCAAACACUUCAUGAAGAAUAAAACAUAAUAUUAAUAUAGAAUAAAGACCGGAUAACAUGGAACUUGCUUUUGUUCGAUGAAUGCAACUGAAAAUAUUGUGGAAAGUCAGUACCUGAAUAACUAUACGGUGUUGUGCGAUGCUAGAUUCAUCAAAAAUAUCGGAUAAUUUGCCCAAGACAUCCACUUUAGGUGCAGAGAUGAUAACUAUCUACAAGUUCUCUCUAUGAUCAUCAAAAAUCAACCGUUGAAGUGAGGAGGCAUCCUGUGUAAAAACUUUGCCAUGGUGACCACAAAUGCCAAUGCUUAUAAGGAUAGGUGAGUUUAUUCUCAUGCAAUGGAUCUUGAGUGUCCAAAAAAGCAUUAGGCAUUUGAGUGCAGGGCAACUCCUAAAGUCGAUUAUGCUUUGUAAUGAGACUUAGGAUAUAUCAACAUCCACAAGCAAGAGUCUCUUGAGCAGUGGUAGUUUAAGCGCCCGUACAUAAUUUUCUCGUAACUUGCAAAGAGCAAAGGCGAUGGUGUGGAGAGAAGAGGAAAUCUGAGGGUUGAAUGCCGGUGGUGAUGGCAUAAGCGAAGGGCAUGAUAAUGGUAGUAUGUCACGUUGUCUCAUAAAUCAUGGGAACAUAUAUUAAAACUCAAGCACCUGGAGAUUGUUCAAUCUAGGGGAUUUGAGCCUGCAUCGACGGUCGAGGGUCUGCACUGGAGGUAGAACGCCGGUAUGCAUAGGCUGUGAACUGCACCCUCAUGGCCGGAGAAGAUGGCCUAUGGAAUGUUUGAAUCAACAUCACCGACAGAUUCUCCACUAAAAAAAGUUCCAGUGUACGUUAUGCGGAUGAGCUCCCCCGUUAUGGCAGAGUAAGCGGAAAUCAACUCGAAAUCUACUUUUGACACGGUUAAAAACUUGAGCAAGAGGGAUGUCACGGCAGUCCAGAUUCAGAGGAGCGGUGCGCCAAAGAGGGCGCCAGCGGUUGAGAGGAUUUGAGUGUGGAUGCCCUCCUUAGUGGAGAGACGGGAGAUGAUAUAACUGAGGAUGGCGUGCGGGAUGUAACGACCGAUAUGCGACACUUUCCUUAUUUGGGGGCGAGGCCUCAAAAGGGGAAAAGGUUGUGUUUAAGCGUAUUGCAAGUAGGAUAACAUUGCCAAUACAUAAACAGAUAGAUGAGUAUAAGAUUCAGCUUAGACUCGCCACAUGCUAGAUUACAAUCCACGCAAAGCAUUCAUUAUUCAUACAUAAGACAGGAUCCGACUAUGGACAAGAUAAACGGCAAAACAUGCUAUCCCAUCUUGAUAGUCCCACAAUCACGACCAUGCGCCUCUAGUCCUCAGGAUACGUCACAUACAGCUUGCCACUGUCUUCGUCGAACUCCCACCUGAGCUGGGUAUCCUCUGGAAGACCUGCAUCUGGGGUGCCUGCACCUGUGGGUGUUUGUAGUAAACUAAGAGCCAUGAGGACUCAGCAAUCUCAUGACCUUGGUAUCGAGUCUAACCAAGUUAAAUGGCUGAGGUAGCUUAAGUGUUUGAGUUUGCAGCAACCUAAGCAUAUAUGGUGGCUUUCUUAUGAAGAACAGAAUUAACAUGUGGUGGUCUAUGUAAGACGGUCGAAGACUAGAAUGAUCACUAAGUGAUCUUGAUCACCUACUUACGUCAUUCAUAACCCCCAUCGUGUUCUCGAUCAGAGAAGGAGCUCUGAAAGAAACAGUCAUGGUUACGCACUCAGUUGGCAAGUUUUAUUUGAAUUACUUUAAGUUGUAUAUAACCGGAUGUUAACAAAUAUCCUUGUUUGUCACAUAACUGCGAGCAUGGCUUUCCAAAAGAUUAAACCAUGCAGGGGUGCUCCAACUAGUCCAUCACAAAUUACCACAGGCCGCAUAGUAAUCCUCUACCACGAAACUCGUGAUCUCGUCGGAUUCCUUAGAGGAAAACCUCAACUCUGAGAAGACCCGAAAUCUCACCAAAAUCCCAAUGUCAAGGUAUAUUGCUAAGGUAAGACAAGUCCGGCAAGACCUCCCGACGUGUCGGCGAUCCCGAUAGGAGUCGCGUAUCUCGUUCUCAGGACACGACGGAUGAGCACUACGUACAGUGGCGAGAUAGACAUCCCCCGAGUUGCCCCGGAUGGCCACACAAGUGGCUCUGGUUUGGACCAACGCUCAUGAGGAGCACUGGCCCGGGGGUUGAUUAGAUUCCUUGGGGUAGCUAUUCCCUAUGCUUUUUUAUUAUUAAGUUAUUAGAAAAUUAACACCAAAGUUGGGUCCUGCCAGACAAGUCUUAACACUAAACGAUUUAUCGAGGGGGUCCCCAUAACAACCCUGGACGUGUUAGGAGCGCUCAGUUAUGGAAUAAAACACCGGUAGACGAAACUAAGGCGUCAACAAUGAAACAAAUCACCCGGCAAAAGGCUAGGCCUUUCUUUAUUUACCAAGUACAUAGGUGUAUUAAUUACAUAGCAAUUAAAUAUUAUGAUAUCAAAUGCCCAUGUUAUCACAUGGACGAGCUGGCACCUCCAACUAGCAACGCUAACAAUUAGUGGUUGAGCAAGCCUAACUUAGCCAGACAACAUUUGCUAGGAGGGGAGGUGUUUGAGGUUUCAUGGCAAUGUUUGAUGGCCUAUAUAUCAUGUGGUAGGCAGCAGAGAUGUAACGAAGGAAACGUAACACUAAGCAAAACAAAGCUAGAAACGGUGUCAAGGUCACGAUCAUCUUGCCUAUGAUUUCUUCAGAGUGGAACUGAUCCUGAUCCUCCUGCACGAACUCACUGGACUCUUCGAACUCAUUUCUGCAUAUUCCUAUUUAACACAAACAAAUAAAAAAUAACAGGAAAUUUAUGAUAAGGAGGGGGGCCCACCUGGCAGUGGCCAGGGCACCCAACACCUCUAGCAAAAACACACAUACCACUACCACUGCGCUACACUAGUAUAGCUUCUCUAAAAGGGGUCGAAGGCCUCCUGUACUGAGCCAUCACACUGCUACACUAUGGCGUAAAACGAAAAUAAAUAGAGGACCAGGGGGAUUCGAACACACGACCUCCCUGCUGGGGCGCGGUGCUCACACCACGGUGCUAGGAUGGGUAGGUCUGAACCCAAACAGGUUCGGCCUCAAUUAUGCUUAGGCCACGAGCCUUCUCCUACCUCCAGACUGAAUCGCAGAUGAGUAAGGAGUUGACACCGGUGAUCGGAGAGGUGUUUACGGCGGCGAGGAUCUACCGGAGGGGGUGCAGGAACCCUCGGGGGUUCCAUUCCCGAGGCUACGAGACCCUAAGGAGCAGGGCACACCGGAGGUUACGAGCUCGAGCAGAGCUCAUCCUGGCCGGCGACGUGGACGCUACGGCCGCUACGGCGAGGCUAUGUGCAGGGGCACACGUGCGAGAAGGGUAGCCGAAGGCGGUCAGAGAGUACAUCGGGCGUGGAGAAGAAGCGGUUCGAUGUUGCGGCUACGUGCAGGUUCCCUUCUGCGUCCGACGGGGCCGAGCACGGGCUCGUCGGGGUGAUGGCCCUCCAACCACCCUACCGGCGAGAAUGGGUCGAGGGAGGCUCUGGCAACUUCGCGGCUAUCUGGAACUCCCCGGAGGAGCUACCUGCGACGAGGGAGACGGCGGGUACGUGGCAAGCAACUCUGUUUCUCUGAACUUACUGAAGCUCCACCUCUCUGAACUUACUUAGCAGAGGGAGAAGAAGGAGGGAAGUGGAGAUGGCGGCAGUGAGGAGGAAGAUCACGCAACCCUAUGCCACAGGGGCUCCUAAAUAGCACCAUCCACAUGCUCCUCGCCGUUUGAUGCUGGGUGGAGAGCAUGAGUGGUGGAGGAGUUGAGUAAUGGAGCAAUCACCACACAUUAUAUUCCAUCCCUCGAGGGGUAUAUAUAAAGUUACAUGAGAGGGAGGGAAUCAUGUGGAGAGAGAUCGUGAGCUACAACGGUCGUGAGUCGUGCAUGCAACGCAUGUGAUUGUGAAGGAGGAGGACUCGGUCCGGGCCGUUAGCCACGACGUGGGGCUCCUCGUGACGCGUUCCAACACCCCCCGGCAGUCCGAACGUGAGGUUCGAGAACGUUGAGACUAGAGCUGAACUCGUCGAAGACGGAUGUUGGGAGCCCUUUGGUAAAGAUGUCUGCAAAUUGAGAGCUCGUGGGAACGUGCUGGACACGAACUUCUCCCAGUGCCACGCGCUCACCAACAAAGUGCAAGUCGAUCUCCACGUGCUUUGUCCGCUCAUGCUGCACCGGAUUGCGAGACAUGUACAUGGUGCUCACGUUGUCGCAGUAGACGACGGUGACGCAUGCAGGUGGCUGAUGAAGCUCGCCGAGGAGUUGACGGAGCCAGGCGGACUCAGCAACAGCGUUGGCCACAGCGCGGUACUCGGCUUCGGCGCUGGAGCGAGACACCGUGUUCUGCCGCUUCGAGGACUAGGUGAGCAGGUUGAGUCCGAGGAAGAUGCAAUGCCCUGACGUGGAUUUCCUGGUGUCCGGGCAGCCCGCCCAGUCGGCAUCCGAGUAGGCGAUGAGCUCGGAUGCGGCGGAGCGGUGGAUCAGCAGGCCGAGACGGGUGGUGCCACGAAGUUAGCGCAGGAUGCGCUUGACGAGUUGGAAGUGGGCGUCGCGGGGCGCAUGCAUGAACAAACAACACUGCUGGACGGCGUAGGAGAGGUCCGGCCGCGUGAGGCUGAUGUACUGGAGAGCACCUGCCAGGCUGCGGUAGAGCGUCGGGUCGUGGAAGAGCGGGUCGGAGUCGACGGAGAGCUUGGCGAGCGUGUCGACCAGCGUGCCGAUGGGCUUGUAGUUGAGCAUGCCCGCUCGAUCAAGGAUCUCAAGAGCGUACUGCUCCUGAGAGAGAAAGAGCCCAGCCGACGUGGUCGUGACGUUGAUGCCGAGGAAGUGGUGCAGGACGCCGAGAUCUUUCAUGGAGAACUCCGUGUGAAGCGACGGGAUGAUGCGUUGGAGAAGGGCGUCGGAGCUCGCGGUGAGGAUGAUGUUGUCCAUGUACAACAGCAAGUAGGCGAGGUGGUGUCCCCGCCGAAGAAUGAACAACGAGGAGUCCGAGCGCGAUGCCGUGAAGCCGAGGGCAAGCAGGUAGCUGGUGAAGAGCGAGAACCAGGCCCGUGGCGCCUGCUUGAGGCCGUACAGGGAGCGGUUGAGGCGGCACACGCGUGAAGGGUUGACGGAGUCGGCGAAGCCGGAGGGCUGCUGGCUCUAGACGGUCUCUGCGAGGUGGCUGUGAAGAAAGGCGUUCUUCACGUCCAACUGGUGGAUGGGACACGACUGGCCGGCGGCGAUGCUCAAGACGGUCCGGACCGUGGCCGGCUUGACGACAGGGCUGAAGGUUUCCUCGUAGUCCACACCGGCUUGUUGCGUGAAGCCGCGAAGGACCCACCACGCCUUGUAGCGAGAUAGCGUGCCAUCGGUGUUGAACUUGUGCCGGAAGAUCCCUUUCCGUGUAACCACAUUAGCACCUGCAGGACGGGACACCAAACACCACGUAUCAUUCCGCAUUAGUGCAUCAUACUCCUCGCGCAUGGCGUUGUACCAGUUGGGAUCUUUGAGGGCCACGCGAUAAGAGGAGGGGAUGGGGCUGACGGUGGAGGAAGUGGUGUGGAGAGAGACGGGCUGUUUCGGUUGGGCGAACCCCGACUUGGCCCUGGUGCGCAUGGUGUGGGUGUUGGACGGCGGAGCAACCGGGACAACACGAGAAGGGAGCGGGGGCGCGGAUGGAGAAGGGCGACGUGCGUGCGGGGCUGCAUGGGGGUGCAGCAGCAGGACCCGCGGAGGAGCGUGGAUUGGGUGGUGGUGUUGGGAUUAGGGUGUCGGGCCCGACAUGUGAGCGGGAUGGAGGGAGGCGACACGGUGUGGGGACACGCGGAGCGGGCGGGCUGGUCGUCGCAGAGGGAGUGGGGGACCGAGCAGCGCAGGGAGAAUCUGCAGCAGAUCCGAGCUGCGCGGAUCCCGGAGGAGAUGCGGACGAGGUAAGUGGGGCGCGGCGUUCGGGAAGGAUAUCUGGCCCGGGAAUUUCUGCGGCUAAGGGAGUACGUGCGGGAGGUGGGGUAGAAAAAUAGGGAAAGACUAUUUCGUCGAACAUGACGUGGCGGGAGACGAUGACGAGUCGUUUGGCAAGGUCGAGGCAGCGAUAGCCCUUAUGUUCGAGGGUGUAUCCGAGGAAAACACAACGAACGGCAUGGGGGCAAGUUUGUGAGGGCUGGUGGCGUAUGUGUUUGGAAAACAGAGGCAUCCGAAGACUCGAAGGUUGUCGUAGGUGGGAUGGCGGCCGAGUAGGCGAAAAUAAGGUGUUUGUCGCUGGAUGGCGGACGAGGGACGAUGAUUGAGGACAUGGGUGGCAGCGUGGCGAGCCUCAACCCAGAACUCGGGGGGAGAUGAGCAUGGAUGAGUAAGACCCGAAGAAUGUCAUUUGUCGUACGAAUGAGGUGUUCUGCCUUCCCGUUCUGUGGUGAUGUAUGUGGGCAAGAGAGGCGGAAGGAGGCGCCAUGUGUGGAGAAAAGGGAACAUAAGGCCGUGGUGAAGAACUCACCCCCAUUGUCACAUUGCAUGCACUGAAUAGUGAUGUGGAAUUGUGUUUGUACGUAGGCGAAGAAACGAGUGAGGAUGUUGGAGGUGUCGGAUUUUUGUCGUAGGGGAAAUGUCCACGAGUUGUGGGAGAAAUCGUCAAGGAUCACAAGGUAAUAUUGAAAACCGGAAAAACUACACACGGGAGAGGUCCACAAAUCACAAUGAACUAAUUGAAAUGGUGCUGUGGUGACAGAGUGUGAAGAAGAAAAGGGCAGCCGUGGCUGCUUGCCUAAUUGGCACGAACUACAAACACGAGGGUUGGACGUGCCAUUAUUACAUGAUGGUAAGAAAUCUUUAGCUAAAAUGGAAAUGGAGGCAUUGCUAGGGUGGCCUAGGCGGAGGUGCCACAAGUUGUUGACGACGGAAAGAGCAUGUUGGACGCCGGAGUUGCCGAAGAAUGGUACAGGUCGCCAUGGCUAUUGGACCUCAUCAUGACGCGCCCCGUCGCUAGGUCCUUCACAGUGAAACCAUAGGGGUCAAACUCAAUUGUACAGAAGUUGUCAAUGGUAAAACGGCAAACAGAAAUAAGAUUGCAAAUGAUAGAUGGUGUGACGAGGACGUCAUUGAGUGUGAAGGAGGAGAGUUUGGCGCGGCCGGCAGCUGUGAUGGGGAAACGAGACCCAUCCCCAACGGUGAUGCCCUGGGAGUGGUGCACUAAGGGGGAAGAAUAAGAGGUGAGGGUGGACGUCUUACCAGCUACGUGGGAGGAGGCCCCGGUGUCAAGGAUCCAGUCGGGGGCGGCGCCGGCGUGCUGCUGCUGUUGCAUCGAUAUGUUGUGGAGCGCCGCGUUGAGCUGGUGGUACUGCUCCCAGGAGGGGCCACCCAUGGUAGGUAGCGCGGCGACGGGGUACGCCUGGUGUGGCAGAGGUGGACGGGGCCCGAGGACGCCGGCGGCGUUCGGCGCGGACCACGGCGCACGGAGCUGGUGCGGCUGGGGAGGGAACAGAGUGUCCCAUGGGGCGAAGUAGCCCAGCCACGGUCGGGCUUGCGCGGUUGGAGCGGGAGAUGGCGUGCCACGGCCGCCCGUGUUGGAGGCGCCCGAAGAGGUGGAGCCGGAGGAGCCGUGGCCACGCCCAUGGCCACGGGGUUGCCUGUCACCGGGGGGCGAGGGAGCCGGGGCCUUGCCCUUGUCGUUGGCGGGGUUGCCGGUGCGGUCGCUGCUGGCGUCAGGGGCGCGGCCGACGGUCAGCGCGGUCAGGGAGCCCGUGCCCUGCCCGUCCAUGCGUGCCCGCUCGUUGGCAGAGAUCUCCUCCAUGAGGAGCCGGGAGCGGGCCUGAGUGAAGGACGGGAAGGGUUCCUGCAUCGGGAGAAGAGUAGCCAUGACCUGGAAACGACGGCCGAGCCCGCGAAUGAGCUGGAGGGUGAGGGUGUGGUCGGAGAUGGGGCGCCGACCUCGCCGAGCGCGUCGGCAAGCGCCUUAAGGCGCCGGCUGUACUCGGCGAUGGAGAGGUCGCACUGCAUCAUGUUGCGGAACUCGGCCUCGAGGAUGAUGGCGCGCCACGGUUGGUUGCCGCGGAAGAGCAGGUGGAGUUGGACCCAGACGUCGCGGGCGGUGCUCUCGGGGGACAUCACGACGUCCUGGAGGUCUUCAGCGAUCACCUCAUACAUCCAGAGUACGAUGGUGAUGUCGUUGGUGCGCCACAUGACGCUUUUGUGGAGCGGUGCCGCGGCGACGUCGAGGUGGUGCUGGAUGUUGUGGCGGCAACAGAUGAAGUAGAACAGUUAGCGCCACUUGGAGUAGUUGCCGGUCUCCAGCUUGAGUUUGCGGUGGAAGUGGUGGGUGAUGGAGGCAGGGAGGCUGUUGGUGGUGGAGGGGGCAUCAUCGGGUGUGGUAGCGCCCGAGGCGCCGAGGGUGAGGUGCGGGAUCAGCUCGCUAUCGGCGGUGCGCAGGGCCACCGGGGGAGGAACGAGCUCGCUGCCGGCGGUGCACAGGGCCACCGCGGGAGGACGAAAGAGGGCGGCGCUAGGGGCGACGGCCGGCCCGGGGGUUGAGGAAGAGGGCUCGGCAAGAGUCUGCUUGCCCUGAUCGGUGGUGGGAGGAGCGCAAGCGGGGAUGGGGGCUGGAGGUGUGGCGAGGCCAGCCGAGCGGGUGGAAGCGGGAGGUGUGUGAAGAUCAGCCGAGCGGGUGCGGCGCAGGAGAUGAUUCAUGGCGGAAGCGGAGGAUCAAAGAUUCUGAUACCAAGUUGAAUAAUGGAACAAUCACCACGCAUUGUAUUCCAUCCCUCGAGGGGUAUAUAUACAGUUACAUGAGAGGGAGGGAAUCAUGGGGAGAGAGAUCGUGAGCUACAACGGUCGUGAGCCGUGCAUGCAACGCAUGCGGUCAUGGAGGAGAAGCACUCGGUCCGGGCCAUUAGCCACGACGUGGGGCUCCUCGUGACGCGUUCCAACAGAGAGGAUCGUACAGAAGGUGACAUGCGCGAGGAGGAAGACGGUCGUGGUGUGGGCUGCUCGAAGGGGAACUGGGCCCUGGGCCUCUCUCUCUCAAAGAAAUAACACUGGAUUGAACCUUUUAAAUAAAAGCCACCAGUUUUGUAUUAAAGACCAGGGUAGGAAAAAUAGAAAAAGAAUGAAGACAAAAAUAAAAAUAAGCCUCUAAAAUAUUUCUCCUAUUUAUAAAAAUAGGUGGGGCAUUUUAGAGUAAAGAAGAAUAACAUGUUUAAUUUGAAUGUGGCCCUGUUUUAAAAUAAAACAAAAGAAAAAUAAAUUCAAAUAAGUGUGUGUUGCCACCCACAAUUAUUUUAAAGGGUUUUCAAAUAUGUUGAACAUUUUUUUAAAAUACCAAAACAGAAACUUCAAAUUUUCCUAAAGCAUUUGAAAAGAAAGGGGUUUUUGGUCCAUGGUGCAAGUAGGGUUUUUGAAGGGCUCUUGUUGCACCCACACCACAUUUUGCAAGAUCACCCCAACACAUAUGCAAUCACACACACCACCAAGUUGGCACCACCACACAAGAUCAAACAAGAAACAAAAGGAAUAAGACAUCCAUGAUGCAUGAUGCACAUGAAAUGACAACAUCACCAAGUCUCUCAUCCAUUCACAUUGCAUCACAAGGUUGCCAAACAUGGAAAGGAGUACAAAGGGGGAGGAAAAGCAUUAGGGCUGUCACAACACUCCCACACUACAAGAGGAUCUCGACCUGAGAUCUAUGACUGGAAGAACUCCGGGUACUCGAAACGGAGGUGGUCCUCGCGCUCCCAAGUGGCUUCUUUGUCUGAAUGGUGUGACCCUUGCACUUUGAGUAACUUGAUUGACUUAUUGCGGGUCUUGCGCUCAAUCUCUUCAAGUAUUGCUAUCGGAUGCUCAUGGUAGGAUAGGUCAGGCUGGAGGUCGAUAUCCUGGAGAUCAACUAUGCGCUUGGGAGUCUUGAAGCAUCUCUGGAGUUGAGAGACGUGAAACACAUCAUGCACAUUGGAGAAGUUGGAUGGAAGCUCUAACAAAUAUGCAAGAUCACCUCUCUUGCCAACAAUUCUGAAAGGACAAACAAGGCGAGGAGCGAGCUUUUCUUUGAUGCCGAAGCGUUGAGUGCCCUUCAUGGGAGACACUUUUAGAUACAGAAAAUCAUCGAGCUCAAAAGUCAUGUCACGAUGCUUGCUAUCGUAGUAGCUCUUAUGACGGGACUGAGCUGCUUUGAGAUUAUCCCGAAUGACACGGCACAUUUCUUGUGCUUCAGCAAUCAUGUCAUUCCGAAGAAUCUGAUGCUCACCAGUCUCUGACCAAUUGAGCGGGGUACGACACUCCCUGUUAUAUAGAAUCUCGAAUGGAGCCUUGACUGAGCUUGCUUGAAAGCUGUUGUUGUAUGAGAACUCGGCAAAUGGUAGGCAAUCUUCCCACUUCAUUCCAAAAGAACUCAUGCACGCUUUGAGCAUAUCUUCAAGGAUCUGAUUGACUCUCUCAACUUGCCCACUAGUUUGAGGAUGGAAAGUUGUACUAAAACGGAUCUUAGUCCCAUCGCAGACUGAAAGGAAUCCCACAACUUGGAAGUAAAGAUGCUUCCACGAUCUGAAGAAAUGAGCAUAGGAACACCGUGCAACGAGACUAUCCUUGAUGUAUACAACUCUGCCAGCUGAGCUCCCGAGAUAGACUCUUUGACCGGUAGGAAAUGAGCAACUUUGGUCAACUUGUCAAUGACGACAAACAUGGCAUCGUUGCCUUUCUUUGACUUUGGAAACCCUGUGACAAAAUCCAUCUCCACAUGAUCGAAUUUCCACUCGGUUAUAGGCAAGGGAUGCAGCAGACCUGUUGGACGUUGAUGCUCUGCCUUCACUCUGCGACACACAUCACACUCAUUCACAAACUGAGCAAUCUCACGUUUCAUGCGAGUCCACCAGAAGGUCUGCUUCAGAUCCUGAUACAUUUUGGAGCUUCCUGGAUGUAUCGAGAGAAGGGAAUUAUGGGCUUCAUCCAUGAUAACUUUCCUAGGCUCUCCUUUCGGAAUGACAAGGCGGUCCUCGAAGAACAAGGUAUAUUUGUCAUCAACACGGAAGCACUUAUAUUACGGAAUGCUCUUUGCCAAGCCAAUCUUAACUUUCUUCGCCAUCACAUCAAGAAGUUGAGCUUGUCGGACUUGGUCUUCCAAGGUAGGAGAAAUCUGGAGAUUAGCAAGAAAUCCCUGAGGUACUAACUGAAGGUUGAGCUUCGUGAAAGAUUCACAAAGAUCAGGCUGGAGAGGCUUCAGAAUGAGACUAUUGCAGUAAGCCUUUCUGCUCAAAGCAUCUGCAAUGACAGUUGCUUUGCCUGAGUGUAGUCAACGCUCGGAUUAUAAUCUUGGAUCAUUUCCACCCAACGAGUUUGCCGAAUAUUGGGACUAGGCUGGGUGAAGAUGUAUUUGAGACUCUUGUGAUCAGUGUAGACCUCAACAUGUGUGCCCAAUAAGAGAUGUCUCCAAGUCAUCAGAGCAUGUACCACUGUCGCCAACUCAAGAUCAUGAGUGGGGUAACUCUUCUCACUUGGCUUCAACUGCCUCGAGGUAUAAGCUACCACUUUCUUCUCUUGCAUCAGAACUGUGCCAAGACCUUGAAGAGAGGCAUCACAGAACACUUGAUAAGGCUUGGAAUCAUCAGGCGGAGUCAAGACUAGAGUAGAAGUGAGCUUCUCUUUGAGUGUGUCGAAGGCCAACUGACACUCUAGAGACCAGACAAACUUCACACUCUUCUAAAGAAGGCUGGACAGAGGCUUAGCAAUCUGGGAGAAGUUCCCCAUGAACCUUCUGCAAUAGUUUGCAUGCCCGAGAAAGCUUCGAAGCCGUUUCACAUUAUGAGGAGGUUCCCACUCGACAAUGGCAUGCACCUUUGACGGAUCAACUUUGAUGCCCUCGGCACAAAUGAUGUGCCCAAGAUACACAACUUCCUUCAACCAGAACUCACAUUUAGAAAACUUGGCAUAGAACUUAUGCUCUCUUAGGUUAUCAAGCACAAGCCAGAGAUGUUCUUCAUGCUCUUCCUCAGUUUCAAAAAAGACCAGAAUGUCAUCAAGAUACAGCAAGACAAAUUCAUUCUUGAAUGGGGAGAAGAUAUAAUUCAUCAUCCGACAAAAGGUCGGUGGAGCAUUGGCAAGACCACAAGACAUCACUGUGUACUCAUAAGAGCCAAAGCUUGUCCUGAAAGCAGUCUUGGGAAUGUCUUCUUCAUGAAUGUGAAUCUGAUGAAAGCCCAUCCGGAGAUCAAGCUCACAGAAAAUCUUUGCCCCUUUCAAUUGCGCCAACAAUUCAUUGAUGUUGGGAAGUGGAUACUUGUUUCUGAUCGUCUUCUUUUCAAUGGACGGUAAUCGACACGGAGUCGGUUCGUUCCAUCCUUCCUCUUGAUAAAGAUAAUUCCACAACCCCAAGGAGAUGAGCUUGGUCUGAUCAGACCCAGACGCUCCUGCUCAUACAGCUGCUUCUUCAACUCUUUCAGCUCUUCUGGACCUAGUUUAUAUGGUCGCUUGCGUACUGGUUCAGUUCUCGGUUCAAUCUCAAUUACAAACUCAACUUCCGAGUGUGGAGGCAUUCUAGGAAAUUCUUUCAGAAAGACAUCUUCAUACUCACAUACCACUGGGACUUGAGAAAUUGGAGAGAUCUCACCCUUCUCAUUCAAGGAAAACAGACGGAUCGUGUCAUCACGCGCAACAAAGAGAAUCACGUCCUCCGAAGGAUGAGUUAGCUUGACUUUCUUUUGCUUCACAAUCAAUAUACGCCUUGUUCAUCACUAGUCAAUCCAUACCAAGGAUCAGAUCAAUAUCGGACUUGCCAAGGACAACUGGAGAAGCCAAAAACGAAUAGGUGCCAUCUUGACAGAGAGAUCACGAACAAACCCAUUCGAAGUCAUUUGCAUGGCCGGAGAAAUGAUUUUAAACGUCCUAAGAUCAUGCUUUGCAAAAAAAGGCCUCGAAAUGAAUGAAUACGAUGCACCAGAAUCAAAUAAAACCUUUGCAGAAAAAUCAUUAACCAAUAGAUUACACAUGAUCACAUAUGAGGAGUUCUCUGCUUCUGCUGCAUUCACCAUAUUAAGUCUCACAAACUUGGGAUUGAACUUCACCAUUGCAUUGCGUGGAGGCUUGACUGGAGGAGGAUGAGCAAGACGCUGCUGAGUGGUGCACUUGUUAGAGUAAUGACCCUUCUGUCCACACUUGUGACAAGUCACCUCUAACAGCGGAUGGAAUUGCACUUGAGGAUUCCCUUCCUUAUACUAUUGAAACCUCUGCUGGAAAGCUGGGUAGGGUGGGUGGGAAGAACCACGACCACCUGACUGCUUGAACUGCUGAAUCUGCCGAGGAGGAGGAGACACCUAAUAUUUCUGCUGCUUCUGAAGCACCUGAGUUGAGGACGAGGAACUGGAAUCUCGGAAGCGCUUCCUUGAAUUCUCCACUUUGAGCAAAGCCGCUUCAGCCCUGAGAGCCAAGUUGUAGAACUUAUCGAACUCAUCGGGAUCGUGCAAGGCAAGGGCCAACUGCAAGUCUUCCUUCAGACCACCUCUACACUGAUAAAUCUUGCUCUUUCGAUCUGGGAUGUCCUAUUUAGCAUACCGAGCCAGCUCCUGGAACUCGACAUUGUACUUGUACACAGAUGAUCCUCCUUUCUUCAAGCAUCUGAACUUCUCACGCAUCUCUUCCACGAAGCUAGCUAGAAUAUAGUGAGCCCUGAAAUCCCUACAUAAAUCAUCCCAGCUGAUCAAUCUGUCGCCUAUGGAAUCCUUCAAUUGUUGCCACCAUUGUGCUGCCUGACCCUUGAGCUGAAAAGUUGCAAACUUGACGAAGUCCUCUGGUCGCACAUUACUGCACUCGAAGUGCUUGUUCAUGUCACGAAUCCAAUCAUCAGCAUCGAAUGGCUAGUCACAAGAAGUGAAGGACUUUGGCUGGUUCACCAGGAAUUGAUUCAGAGUUGCAAACUGAUGUCCACCAUAGUUGAAAUUGCCCUGUUGGUGAUUGUUCCUCUCUUGCAACAACUGAAGUAACAUCUGAGUGGUUGCAUUGGUUGCAGCCAUCACCGCUUGCCAUGCCUCUGGAGGAGGAGGCGGUGGCGGUGGAGGCAGAGGAGGGGGUGGUGGAGCAUCAGCACUCUCAUGACCUGGAUUCUGGCAAGUUGGUGGAGCCAUCCUGGAGACGGACAACAACGUUAGCCCAGAUCAAAAUUGAAAGACUAAGCUAAAUCAACACAUAGAAAUAUCUAAACAAGAAUACUUAGCAAUUGCAGUCGAACUGUAAUUAGUAAGGAUGCUUCCUCAAAGUAACUGACAACAACAUCUGAUUCAAAGCCACUCGAAAACCAAGUAUGUGCUAGGAUUGCUCGAAACAAAUGUAUAACAAAGAUUCCAUCCGAUAUCGUCGUUGAUAUGAUCGCACGGGCUCGAUCCUACAGUAGCCAUCAUGUGCAAGGCAGUGCACACGACAUAUGAAGCAUCCUCGAGUUGUAGCAAGCUACAAGGACUCUUUAAGACACAACGAGAACCGCUGUAAGAUGACCGUGAACAAACGAAUCCACUGAAUGUCGAAUCCCAACCUCACAUCAUGCAUCUGUUGGAAGAUUGUCCUAUAAGUAACUACCUGAGUUCCCACCUAAGAACUCCCAAAUUUCUGGUCAUGCAAUCUGGUCCACGGAUACAAGGAGUAAUAUAUCACUCAACUCAUAUACUAACCCGUCCAGUGUAUCACAUCCGUCAACACAUAACCAGAAUCUCGGAAACUCAUCUAUCUCAGAUCCUCAUAAUCACAAUGAUACUAAGUAUGGUGAUACAUCCGGACCUAUCUGCACCAGUACAAGGUAAGCGAGACUCCUCUCGCCACUACUAGUAUUGAAGCAAUUUCGAACAUCCUUCGUCCUGAGAUACUAAGAAAUCUAAAUGAUAAUGAUGUGCUCAAGAAUUCCCAGGAUCUCAAUUCCCCGGAAUAAAAUCAACACAACAGGAGGCACCAAGACAGAACUCCGUCACAUCGAUAUCAUAUAGAUUCCAAAAUAUCCGUGUGAUCCUAAAACAUUUUGAUCGAAAAUAAGAGUACAAUUAAAAUUUCCUAAGUCGUGAACCUGACCACAGCAUAGAAGAGGAGAAAAAAGAAACCUACUCUCCGAUAUAACUAAGACUCAAAAUAGUUUUUGCUAGACUCGACUCGGCCAAGUUCGAUCACACAAAGGCUCCUAUGGUCGUAAGGGUCUGAUUACCAACUUGUAACGACCAAUAUACGACACUUUCCUUAUUUGGGGACGAGGCCUUGAUCUCGCAAUCUCUGGCGUUAGCUAGACGAAUGCUUAUGACAACAACCCUUCCCCUGCAACGCACCAGAAGAAUGCUGAAAGCACUCCCCAGUAAUGAGACUAGAAGAAUGUUGUUGAUGGCCCACCAGCGCGUGGGUUCGCAGCAGUUUUCGAGGGUAGAGUAUUCGACCCAAUUUUUUGAUAAGCCUCAGGACGUGAGAGUAUACUCUCAAGUAUUAGAAGCUGAAUUUGUCAGAUUCAACCACACCUGAAAGAUUAGUAUCUGCAAGCACAGUAGUAACAGCAAAGUAGUAUGAUAACAACGGUGUCAGAAACGAUCUGUUGACGGCAGACUAUUCCUAACAAUUGUAUCAAUGGUGCCUUCGUUGCCGCGUCGACGAAAGUUGUCAAUUCCCAUCAACGGUAGGUGAACCAACAGUGUAGCAGGUAGCAGCAGUGUAACGAGCAAUAGCAGUGGCAAGGAACAACAGUAGUGACAGCAGUAGCAAGUAGCAACAGUAGCAAGCGACAGUAGCAACAGGAGGAGAGCAAGACAAGUAACAGUAGUAGCAAAAGUAGUAGCAGCAGCAACAGAGCAAAACAAGUAAUAGCAGCAGUAGGACAAACUCGUAGGCAAUGGGUCGGUGAUUUGUUUGGAUGAUAUUCAUCAUGCAACAGCUAUAACACGGAGAGAUAAGUGGCUAGCUCCCGUUCGUCAAUGUGAUGUAGGCAUGCAUUCCGUGUGUCGUCAUACGUGCUUAGGGAAAAGAACUUGCAUGACAUCUAUUGUCCAUCCCUCCCGUGGUAGCGGGGUCCAAAAGGAAACUACGGGAUAUUAAGGUUCUCCUUUUAAUAAAGAACCGGACCAAUGCAUUAGCACUUGGUGAACACAUGAACUCCUCAAACUAUGGUCAUCACCGGGAGCGGUUCCGAUUAUUGUCACUCCGGGGUUGCCGGAUCAUAACACAUAGUAGGUAACUACAACUUGCAAGAUCAGAUCUAAAACACACAUAUAUUGGUGACAACAUAAUAAUUUCAUAUCUGAAAUCAUGGCACUCGGGCCCUAGUGACAAGCAUUAAGCAUGGCAAAGUAGUAGCAACAUCAAUCCCAGAACAUAGUGGAUACUAGGGAUCAAUCCCCAUCAAAACUAACUCGAUUACAUGAUAGAUCUCAUCCUACUCAUCACCGCCCAGCGAGCCUACGAAUAGAUUACUCACGAACGACGAAGAGCUUCAUGGAAUUGGAGAGGGAAGAAGGUUGAUGAUGAUGGCGACGAUUUCCCCUCUCCGGAGGCCAAGACGGACCCCAGAUCUGCCCUCCAGAUGAAGAACAGGAGGUGGCGGCGCCUCUGUAUCAAAAACACAACGAAAACUUCUCUUUUUAUUUUUUCUGGGACGAAAGGCAACUUAUAGAGCUGGAGUUGGGGGCGGAAGGUGCCUGUGGGCCCCACAAGCCUGCCCACCGCCACCAGGGGGUGGUGGCGGGGUAGGGGCUUGUGGCCCACUGGCCCACCCCUAAGGUGGAACUUGGCGCAGAUAUUUUUGAUAUUUUCCAAAACUUCUCCUCGUAAAUUUUCAGGACGUUUGGAGAACUUUGAUUUCCGCACAAAAAUAACACCAAGGCAAUUCUGCUGAAAACAGCGUCAGUCCAGGUUAGUUCCAUUCAAAUCAUGCAAAUUAGAGUCCAAAACAAGGGCAAAAGAGUUUGGAAAAAUAGAUAUGAUGGAGACGUAUCAACUCCCCCAAGCUUAAAACCUUGCUUGUCCUCAAGCAACUCAGUUGACAAACUGAUAGAGAAAGAAAAACUUUGAUAAACUCUGUUUGAUCUUGUUGUUGCAACUAUGUCAAACUCAUAACGAGAAUUUCAGCAUGAUCACAAGUUAACCACAUAAGCAAAUGACACAAAGGUCUCACGGUAAACUAAUAUCAAUGGCAUAAUCAGCUAACGAGCUAAUAAUAAUGAGUUUCAAAUACCAACACUUCAAUCAAAACAAUCAUGAAGCAAUAUGAAUAGGUGGUAUCUCGCUAGCUCUUUCUGAGACCGCAAAACAUAAAUGCAGAGCACUUUCAAAGAUCAAGGGCUGACUAAACAUUGUAAUUCAUAGCAACGAAGAUCCAGUCAUAGUCAUACUCAAUAUCAAUCAAAGGCAAAGCAUAAAAAUGACAGAGGUGCUCUCUAAUUGGUGCUUAUAUAAGAGGAGGAUGACCCGGCAGGAAAAUGAAUAGACAGGCCCUUUGUAGAGGGAAGCAUUGAUUUGCAGAGGUGCCAGAGCUCAAGCUUUGAAAACAGAGAUAAUAAUUUUGGGUGGCAUGCUUUCAUUGUCAACGCAAUGACCAAGAGUUCUCAAUAUCUUCCAUGCUACUCAUGCUAUAGGCGGUUCCCAAACAGAAAAGUAAAGUUUUAACUCCCCCAUCACCAAUCAAUCACACUCCACGGCUAGCCGAAUCCCCGGGUACCAUCCAUACUAACAUCAAUCCGGGGGGAGUCUUGCUUUACAGUUAUGUUUUCGAUUUAAGUGUGGAACUGGGCAUCCCAAAUACCGACCCCUUUCUCAUGAAUGACUGUGAAUAAACACAUGUCGAGGAUAACAUGCCUAACAUGGAAGAUACCAAUAGCCCUCUGUCACCACAUGAGCGGUUCGGGCAUGCAAAACAGAUUAUUUCUUGAAGGUUUAGAGAGUGGCACAUGCAAAUUUACUUGGAACGGCAGGUAGAUACCGCAAAUAGGUAGGUAUGGUGGACUCUCAUGGAAAAACUUUUAGGUUUAUGGAAGUGGAUGCACAAGCAGUAUUCCCGCUUAGUACAAGUGAAGGCUAGCAAAAGACUGGGAAGCGACCAACUAGAGAGCGACAAUAGUCAUCAAGAUGCAAUGAGUUUGACUAACAUUGAAUGCAAGCAUGAACAGGAUAUAAAUCACCAUGAAUACGAACAUCAUAGAGGCUAUGUUGAUUUUGUUUCAACUACAUGCAUGAACAUGCGCCAAGUCAAGCCACUUGAAACAUUCAAAGGAGAAUACCAUCCUAUCAUACUACAUCAUAGUCAUAUCAAAAUCUAUAUUGGCAUUCAAGACAAACCAUUAUAAGCUCUCAGCUAAAUAAGCAUGGCAUCAGAAACUAUGAUCUCUAAGUUGUCAUUGCAAACAUGGUUCUCUCACAACAAAGCUAAAUCUGGGUCGACAAGCUAGUCAUAUUUACAAAAACAAAAUAGAUAGAGUUCAUACCAGCUUUUCAGUCUCACUCACUUCAUCAUAUAUCAUCAUUGUUGCCUUUCAUUUGCACGAUCGGACGAUGAAAACGAUAAUAAGCGCAUUGGACUAAGCUGAAUCUGCAGGCAAACACAAAGGAGAAGACAAAAUAAUAUGGCUCUUUGAAAGCUAAACAUGUAAGCAUGCAAGAACCAAUAAACAUUGUAACCAAUAUCUUCUACCUUGACACAAAGAAAAAGAAAACUAUUUACACGGGAAAGCUCCCAAGAAGCAAAAGAAGAAAGAAAAAUCUUUUUGGGUUUUCUCAAAAGGACACAAAACAAGAAAACAAGAAAAUGGAAAGAAACUAGCAUGGAUAAUACAGUGGCGGAGUGUAAACACCGGCUAACAAAGUGAAAGCAUAAGCAUGAAUGUAAAGUCGGUGAGAACACAUACUCCCCCAAGCUUAGGCUUUUGGCCUAGCUUGGUCUACUCCCAUGGAUGAUCCUGGCGAAACCCAAAGUCAUAAUGGGUGUUAUACGGGAGUGCUGUAGCCACUGCCUGAAUAGCCACUGCCUGAAUGGAGCAAGGUAUAGUGGGCACUCCGGGAUCACCAAGUUUCUUAGGAGUUCUACCUUUGAAAGUGUAGUUGGCAAGCAUGGUGGAGAUCUCAAGAUCUGGUAUCUUCCAUUUAUUAGUCACGAUAUCUUUCAUGUACUUGGCAUACAGAGACAUCUUGAGCAUAUCAGUUAACCGCAUCUGCAAAAAGACGGGUCUUAUCAUCUCAACGAAGCGCUCAAAAUCCUCAUCAUCCUUUUUCUUGGAUGGCUUAGGAGGAAAGGGCAUAGGUCUCUAAACCCAUGGCUCUCUUUCUUUACCAUACUUCCUAGCAGAGAAGUCAUUCUUGUCAUAUCUCUUAGGUUGUGGAUUAUCAGGAUUAACCGUAGGUUCAAUCUCCACAUCCUCAUCAUUGCUAGGUUGAGCAUUAUUAUGAAAAUCACUGUCCAUAUUGUCACCAGGUUCAUGUUCAUCUCCUGAUUGUGUUUCUGCAUCAGACGCAGAAAUAUCAUUAGGUUCUUCAGGUGUGACAGUAUUUGGUGAACUGGCGUGCAGGUUCCUAUUGUCCUUCUUCUUAUCCUUAGGAUGACUAGGUGUAUCAACAUUGAUUCCUUGAGAAUCUCGAUCAAUUCUCUUAGGAUGACCUUCAGGAUACAAAGGUUCCUGAGUCAUUUUGCCUCCUCUAGUAAUGACUUUGACAGAGUUGUCAUUUAAUUCAUUGAGCAGGUCAUUCUGAGCUUUAAGUACUUAUUCUACCUGAGUAGUAAUCAUAGAGGCAUGUUUACUCAGAAGCUUCAGAUCGUUGACAUUUCUGUCUAUGCAAGCACUUAAAGGGCUAAGCAUACGAGUACUUUGUUCCAAAUGUCUGCUAACAUAAUCAUUGAAACUCUGUUGUUUGGCAACAAAGUUGUCAAAUUCAUCAAAGCAUAGGGUAGCAGGUUUAUCAAAAGGAAUAUCACUCUCGUCAAACCUACGCAGAGAAUUCACUUCCACUACCUGUAUCGGGUUAUCGAGACCGUGGAUCUCUUCGAUAAGUGGUAGAUUUUUGACAUCUUCAGAUCUAAUGCCUUUCUCUUGCAUAUAUUUCUUGGCUUCUUGCAUAUCUUCGGGACUGAGGAAUAGAAUACCUAUUUUCUUAGGAGUUGGCUUAGGAGGUGGUUCGGGAAUAGCCCAAGCAUUAUCGUUGAUCAAGAGAUUAUUCAAGAGGGUCUCAGCUUGUUCUACAGUUCGUUCCCUAAAAACACAACCGGCACAACUAUCUAGGUGGUCUCUAGAGGCAUCGGUAAGUCCGUUAUAGAGGAUAUAAAGUAUCUCGUUCUUCUUAAGAGGGUGAUCAGGCAAAGCAUUUUGUAGCUGGAUGAGCCUCCCCCAAGCUUGUGGAAGACUCACUUCUUGGAGUUGAGCAAAGUUGUAUAUUUCCUGCAAGGCAGCUUGCUUCUUAUGGGCAGGGAAAUAUUUCUCACAAAAGUAAUAGACCAUCUCCUGGGGACUACGCACACAUCCAGGAGCAAGAGAGGUGAACCAGGCUUUAGCAUCAUCCUUUAGAGAGAAAGGAAACAACUUAAGGAUAUAGUAGUGGCGGAUCUUCUCCUCAUUAGUGAAAAGGUUGGGUAUUUCGGAUAGUUUGGCAAGAUGGGCUAUGACCGUCUCAGACUCAUAACCGUGAAAAGGAUCAGAUUCGACUAGAGAGAUUAUCUCAGGGCCGACAGAGAAUUUAUAAUCCUUAUCGGUGACAAAGAUAGGCGAAGUGGCAAACUUCUGGUCAUUUUUCAUCCUAGCUUCCUGAGAUUUUUUCCUUCCACUUGAGAAGUAAUUUCUCAACGUCAUAGGCAUCCUUACAUGCAAGAAAAUCCUCAGCUAUCUCUCCCUCCAUAACGUAACCCUUAGGUAUAACAGGCAAGUCAUAUCUAGGAGAGCUAGAUCUAGCAGGAGCAAAAGCAGGUUCUAUCUCAAUAGUAACGGUAGUUUCAGAUGCAUCACGAGCAUUGGCAGUAACUCUAGCAAUAUGAGCAUGAAGGAACACUCCUAGUGGAACAUCAGGCAAAGGAGUAUCUCUAGCAGUAUCAAGCAUAACAUCAUCAGGCAAAAUAGCAUCUCUAGCAUCAUCAGGCAAAGCAGUAUCAAGCAUAGCAUCUCUAGCAGUAUCAAGCAUAGCAUCUCUAGCAGUAUCAAGCAUAGCAUCAUCAGGCAUAGUAUCAAGCAUAGCAUCUCUAGCAGUAGUAUCACAAGCAUCAUCAAGCACAGGCGACAUAUCAAGAUUUCUAGCAGGAGGUGAUGUCGCAAACUUACUCAUAACUGAAGGUGAAUCAAGUGCAGAGCUAGAUGGCAAUUCCUUACCUCCCCUCAUAGUUGAGGGCAAGAAUUUGGUCUUCAGAUCCUUCAGAUUCUUCAUAGUAUUCAGCAAAUAUAAAUCCCAAGUUACUCAGAGAAUAUAGCAAUACCUCCCCGGCAACGGCGCUAGAAAAAUGUUGAUCCCGCAAUCUCUGACGUUAGCUAGACGAAUGCUUAUGACAACAACCCUUCCCCAGCAACAGCACCAGAAGAAUGCUGAAAGCACUCCCCAGUAAUGAGACUAGAAGAAUGUUGUUGAUGGCCUACCAGCGCGUGGGUUCGUAGCAGUUUUCAAGGGUAGAGUAUUCGACCCAAUUUGUUGAUAAGCCUUAGGAGGUGAGAGUAUACUCUCAAGUAUUAGCAGCUGAAUUUGUCAGAUUCAACCACACCUGAAAGAUUAGUAUCUGCAAGCACAGUAGUAACAGCAAAGUAGUAUGAUAACAACGGUGUCAGAAACGAUCUGUUGACGGCAGACUAUUCCUAACAAUUGUAUCAAUGGCGCCUUCGUUGCCGCGUCGACGGAAGUUGUCAAUUCCCAUCAACGGUAGGUGAACCAACAGUGUAGCAGGUAGCAGCAGUGUAACGAGCCAUAGCAGUGGCAAGGAAUAGCAGUAGUGACAGCAGUAGCAAGUAGCAACAGUAGCAAGCGAUAGUAGUAGCAACAGUAGUAGUAGCAGCAGCAGGGCAAGACAAGUAACAGCAGUAGCAACAGUAGUAGCAGCAGCAGCAGUGCAAAACAAGUAACAGCAGCAGUAGGACAAACUCGUAGGCAAUGGGUCGGUGAUUUGUUCGGAUGAUAUUCAUCAUGCAACAGCUAUAACACGGAGAGAUAAGUGGCUAGCUCCCGUUCGUCAAUGUGAUGUAGGCAUGCAUUCCGUGUGUCGUCAUACGUGCUUAGGGAAAAGAACUUGCAUGACAUAUAUUGUACAUCCCUCCCGUGGUAGCGGGGUCCAAAAGGAAACUGCGGGAUAUUAAGGUUCUCCUUUUGAUAAAGAACCGGACAAACGCAUUAGCACUUGGUGAACGCAUGAACUCCUCAAACUAUGGUCAUCACCGGGAGUGGUUCCGGUUAUUGUCACUCCGGGGUUGCAGGAUCAUAACACAUAGUAGGUAACUACAACUUGCAAGAUCGGAUCUAAAACACACAUAUAUUGGUGACAACAUAAUAAUUUCAGAUCUGAAAUCAUGGCACUCGGGCCCUAGUGACAAGCAUUAAGCAUGGCAAAGUAGUAGCAACAUCAAUCUCAGAACAUAGUGGAUACUAGGGAUCAAUCCCCAUCAAAACUAACUCGAUUACAUGAUAGAUCUCAUCCUACUCAUCACCGCCNNNNNNNNNNNNNNNNNNNNNNNNNNNNNNNNNNNNNNNNNNNNNNNNNNNNNNNNNNNNNNNNNNNNNNNNNNNNNNNNNNNNNNNNNNNNNNNNNNNNUUGCCUCUAGGGCAUAUUCCCAACAGUCUCCCACUUGCACUAGAGUCAAUAAUCUAGUUCACAUCACCAUGUGAUUCCAACGAAUCCAANNNNNNNNNNNNNNNNNNNNNNNNNNACGUCUUGCUCGUGAGAGAGGUUUUAGUCAACGGUUCUGAAACUUUCAGAUUCGUGCGUUCUUUACAAAUCUUUAUGUCAUCUUAUAGAUGCUGCUACUACGUGCUAUUCGGAAAUGCUCCAAAUAUCUACUCUACUAUACGAAUCCGUUUCACUACUCAUAUUUAUCCGGAUUAGUGUCAAAGCUUGCAUUGACGUAACCCUUUACGACAAACUCUUUAACCACCUCCAUAAUCGAGAAAAAUUCCUUAGUCCAUUAGUUACUAAGGAUAAAUUUCGACCGCUGCUAGUGAUUCAAUCAUGGAUCACUCUCUGUACCUCUCAACAUACUUUGAGUCAAGGCACACUUCAGGUGCGGUACACAGCAUGGCAUACUUUAGAUUCUACGGCUAAGGCAUAGAAGACGACCUUCGUCUAUUCUCUUUAUUCUGCCGUGGUCGGGUUUUGAGUCUUACUCAAAUUCACACCUCACAACGCAACCAAGAACUCCUUCUUUGCUGGUCUAUUUUGAACUCUUUCAAAAACUUGUCAAGGCAUGCAUCUUGUUGAAACUUCUAUUAAGCGCUUUCGAUCUAUCUCCAUAGAUCUUUGAUGCUCAACGUUCAAGUAGCGUAAUCCAGGUACUCCUUUGAAAACUUCUUUCAAACAACCUUGUAUGCUUUACAGAAAUUCUACAUUACUUCUGAUCCACAAUAUGUCAACCACAUAUACCUAUUAGAAAUUCUAUAGUGCUCCCACUCACUUCUUUGGAAAUACAAGUUUCUCAUAAACCUUGUACAAACCCAAAAUCUUUGAUCAUCUCAUCAAAGUGUAUAUUCCAACUCCGAGAUGCUUGCACCAGUCCAUUGAAGGAUCACUGGAGCUUGCAUACUUGCUAGUAUCUUUAGGAUCGACAAAACCUUCUGGUUGUAUCACAUACAAUGUUUGCUCAAGGAAACCGUCGAGAAAACAAUGUUUUGACAUCCUACGUGCAAUAUUUCAUAAAUAAUGCAUCAACAACUAACAUAAUUCUAACAGACUUUUAGCAUCGCUACGAGUGAGAAAGUCUCAUCAUAGUCAACUGUUUGAUCUUAUCGAAAACAUCUUUGCGACAAGUCGAGCUUUUCUUAAUAGUGACUUAUCACCAUCAUCGUCUGUCUUCUUUUAAAGAUCCAUUUUUACUCAAUAGUCCUAUGACCAUCAAGUAGUUCUACCAAAGUCUACACUUUGUUUUCACACAUGGAUCCUUUCUCGGAUUUCAUGGCUUCCAGCCAUUUGUCGGAAUCUGGGCCCACCAUCGCUUUCUCCAUAACUCGUAGGUUCACUGUUGCUCAACAACAUGACCUCCAAGACAGGGUGACCGUACUACACUGUAGCAGUACGCGACCUUGUCGACCAACGAGGUUUGUAGUAACUUGAUUCGAAGCUCAAUGAUCAUCAUCAUCUGCUUCCACUUCAAUUGGUGUAGGCGCCACAUGAACAACUUCCUACGCCCUGCUACACACUGGUUGAAGUGAUGGUUCAAUAACCUCAUCAAGUUCUACUACCCUCCCACUCAAUUCUUUCGAGAGAAACCUUUCCUCGAGAAAGGAUCCGUUUCUAGAAACAAACACUUUGCUUUCAGAUCUUAGAUAGGAGAUGUACCCAACUAUUUUGGAUAUCCUAUGAAGAUGCAUUUAUCCGUUUGGGUUCGAGCUUAUCAGACUGAAACUUUUUCACAUAAGUGUCGAAACCCCAAACUUUCAAGAAACGACAGUUUAGAUUUCUCUAAACCUCAGUCUAUACUGUGUGAUCUCAACGGAAAUACGCGGUGACCUAUUUAAAGUGAGUGCGGUUGUCUCUAAUGCAUAACCCAUAAACGAUAGUGGUAAUUCGAUAAGAGACAUCAUAGUAUGCACCAUACCAAAUAGUGCAUGGCUAUGACGUUCAGACAUAUCAUCANNNNNNNNNNNNNNNNNNNNNNNNNNNNNNNNNNNNNNNNNNNNNNNNNNNNNNNNNNNNNNNNNNNNNNNNNNNNNNNNNNNNNNNNNNNNNNNNNNNNUUGAUCACCAUGUCAAGUCAUCAAUCCAACAACAAAUGUAUUACAAGUUGCAUGAUUCAUUUGAGCAUAAUUUUGGGGAUGGCAACAUGUUUCGUCAAAUAACAAAAGUCGUCGAUUGAUAAAGGAUGGUUGAAAUUUUUUGAACACAUGAGGAUGAUCGCUUUAUUCCGACUGGUCUUGAUAACCAAAGGCUAUUGCAUCGGCUACGUCAAGUCGGUAAAGUUAAUGAUGAGAUGGUAAGAAAUGAAAAUGAUGGGAUCAAGAUUUCGAGCAAAUAAGAUAUUUAAGUGCACAAUUAUACAAAUAUUGAAGGCAAGAAUUCUAUCAAGGUUAGGAUGAAGACGCCAAACACUAGGGGCCGCAAGCAAAUCUUCAAAUUAAUGCAUAAGACAAAGGAUGGAUUAAGCACAAGGGCAAGAAAUCAGAAGUCACCUUUGCAUAAUUAUUAGAUAAAUAUCAAGAGUAGAGUGAAGCAAAAUGUUCUCAUUGACCAAGUAGUGUAAAAGCAUCAAGAUUACCCGAAGACACAAAUUUGCAGACUCGUAUUGACAAAGGGAGAAAGUCAAAACAAUAGCUACAUACCCUCCUUUUGGUACAACAAUGUUGAUAUCAAGGAUACCCCCUUGUGCAAAAUUGCACCCAUAUUCAUCACGGAACAAGUAUUACACAUGGGUAUAUUCUCCAUCUUACUUUAGAAUAUCUCACCAAGAUUAUGCAACUCCAAACAAUCAAAACUUGAUGAACAAUCACAUGUCAAAGUUUGUUUCAAUAGGAAAGAAUUGGUCUAGAGCUGAAAGAACAAGAGAUGGUCAAACAAGUUCAUUGUCUUAAAAUGGAUAGUCAUAAUUGUGCUAAAUCAGAUUUGGUCAUAAAUAAUAAAUAGGGCAAUGUGGAUAAAGUGCACAACAUUUAGGGUUGCACAAUCUAUACAUCCUUAGCACACGAAACCCUUAUUAUGUGGUGUACUAACAGAAUGAAAUCAUAAGAGGAAAGACAUUUGCACCAUCAUCUUGCUAGGCAUGUGGUAGCUAUGGAAUAGUGUUUGAAGGAGUGCUGUAGCAAUGACGAGCCAUACAAAAGAUCCAGGGAGUGACAAAAUUGGAAGGAAGUGGGACUACUAAGAGGAGAAUAACCAUUUAUUUGGGGCCCUAUCGAGGUGGGUAGGGAUAAGUAGUAGUUGCAAAAGCCUAGGGUGGACUUGAUGCGAAGCAUACCAUGGUCAUUCACAUGGAUCCAUCACCAAAACCCCAAGCUCCAAUUGGUCCCAUGACAAGAGCCCGUGCACGUGCCAUUGAAUCUGAGGUGAUGUCUCUCCUUCUCGAGCUAUCCAUAACUUGCCAUGAGACACGACCGCUACCUCAAGCAAAGGCACUGUGCAUAAUGACGUACCUCGACCACAAUCGGAUCUCGGAAGCGCAAGGAUAAUAAUCGCAUCAAGGAGAGGAGUCAAGCGCCAAGAAGAACUCCCACGACAGCCUAUAACUUCUGACUAACCCGGAACCUCCGGCCCCGCAGUCGACCACGGGUAACUCCUGGUGUACCAACUCCCUAGGUAGCCCGGAACCAUCCCGGAACUUUCGACACCUCGAACUUCUGACCUAUGCUCAGUCCAGCUUCCACGACGUGUGUGUGGAAAGCCUGAAACCCGGCUAGAACCUGCCCAGAACUUGUGGCCUGCGUGCGCACAGCUACUCAGUCCGAGUCCCAUGUAGCCAGUCGCCAUCUUAUUUCGACCUAGAAUAUAAGUACUCAUUGCUAACCUCCAAAUUAGGGUUAGAAAUGUGUUGGCUUAUAGUCUAGUUGAGCAUUUCUCCUUCCAUAUCUUCUCCCUUGGAAUUGAACAACUCCAUGUGAGAAGAUCCUAUGGAUGUCAAGGCCCCUCUUUAGGGAAGACCCCAUUAGAUAUCAAGGCCCCUCCUUCGGAGUGGAAGACUAUCUGUUACCUGUGUCCUUUUGUUGACUUUGGAUCUACGUAUCUCGUGUGUUUAUGUGGAUCUAGUGGAUGUGUGAUUGAUGAUCGUUCUUGAGAGUUCAUACUUUCUCUUUGGUUUCUUCCUUUUCCCCUACAAAUGUGAAAAGAUCGACACGUGCAGGUUGCCCCAUAUCAUAUUGGCAUCAUGAACAAAGUUUAAUUCACACUUUUGAGUCUCAUCCUCCACUUUUAUAGCCAAAUUUGUUUUGAUUUCACCUAAUUUCGAGAACUUUUACAAAAAUAGCCAUAUCAAUAUUUUUGGAUUUGAGUACAUUUUGUUGAUUUGGAUCAGUGGAUUUCGUUGUGGACAAGUGGAUCUAGCUUUUACUCAAUCCAAUUUCAAGCAAUUUUUAUUUUGCACACACAGACUUGGGUUUUCCUUCCCAAUUUUCCAUCCAAAUAUUUGAUCUGAAAUUUAGGGUUCAUUUGUGUUUUCCCGACCCCGAGAACUUCCGGCCUCAACUGAAACUUCUGGCACCCGGACCUUAUGGCUAUCGGACCAUUUGCCCACCACGGAACAUCCGGCUAAAACAGAGUGUUUCAUUUUGUUCUCCACCAUUGUUGGAUUUCAGGCUCCGCAACACCUCUAAGAUUCGAACUCAGGGGCAGACGUGGAGGCCACUCAACAGAUUCAGUUUACCAGGCUCGUCACUCGUUGGGCAAGACUAAGAACUCACGCGAUGGUGAGGGAGACCAGGAACACGAUGAUUUACCCAGGUUCGGGCCACUGCAAAUCAUAAAAAUCUAUUCCUGCUUUGGUGGAUUGCCUCUCACGGAGGUGGGGGAUGAACUAGUACAAUGCUCUCGAGCCUCCGAAGGCCAAGUGGCUAGGUGUGUUGUUCUAUCAUGUCAAUGAUCUCUCUCUCAAGUAUCCUACGCUCUCUCUUUAUAGCGGAGGCCCGGGUCCUCUUCCCUCAUAGCUUCGGCGGGAAGGGAUCCCAAAGCGGACAAUUUUGAAGGGGAAUAAGGCAACAUGCUCCCCUGCCCAAAGGUGGUCUUCGCCUGCAAAGUAACUGUCCGCGCCAUCAGAGAUGGGCCCGAGUAUGACGUUUUCCCUACUGGUAGGCGGUGUGGCUUCGUUGCACGAGAAGGGAAACCUUUGGAAGAUGCCUUUAGAACCCCUUAUACUCCCGCCUCCUUUGCACCAAAGGGGAAACUGCCCCGCUGUGCCAUCUGCUGCUCGUGUGUCCUUUCCUGGCGUCACACUUGAUUCCUAAGGCUAGGCCUUGCCUCAGAAUGUACGCCACUUCAGUGGGGUCCCAAGGAGGCCACCUAUGGGUCUUGAUGUCGUUCCUCCUCGUGAGGCCUGGCCCCUCACGAGGGCCUUGUCGAGCCUGCCGAUGCUUCGUCGAUGGAGUGGGCCAGCCCUGGGCCGCAGACAAGCGAGUCUCGGUACCCCCAUUCCCAGAACACCGAUAGUAGCCCCCUGUCCCAAGGCGCGCUUGGCUAGCUUCCUCGCGAAGCCUUGGAGGCAGUCUGAAGCGUCGCAGGCCCUAAAUGUGUGCGGGUCAGGCUUCACGCGCGCCACGCAGCUUGUUGGCAACACUCCAGUUCCCGAGGCACCCAGAGGCGCGCUUGGUCAAAUUGAUGUGAUGCCUGGGUGCAGCACCGGCCAUCAUUGCUCCUUCGGGGCGACACCUGUGGGCCCGCAAUGCAGGCGCGUUCCCUUGCGAAUUGCACGGGCCCGGGGACGCGACGGGACGCCUGCCUGCUUUGGGCAUCCUAUUUAACCUGGCGAGGGCGAUAUGGCCUGCGUCGCCGAGUCUUUUUUGCCUCCCACCUUGAGCCCUUCUCCGAUGGGGAUAUUCUCUGCUAUCGACAAGGAGAAGGCCCUUGGCGAAGGUCAUGCUGCUCCACCUGCCAAGAGGGGGCGAAGCCGCCCCCGAAAGUAUGCGGCGGGGCCGCCAGCGGCCUCCGGUGGGCGGUAGUGGUUCCGCCUGCCCGGGGAUCUCCAUCAGCGGCAAUGGUGUGGCGUCGACUGGAGCGGGUGCCCAUAGAGGCCGUGGUGGGAGGUCGGUGAUGGCCACCCGGCCACCUCGCUUGCGGCUCCACUCGAACGAUACGGUGAUGGAGUUCAUGACGUGGGUGGGGAGGUCGGAAAUCGCUUGGCUCCAGCUUCCGAACUUCUUCUCGAAAGCGCUGCCGGCGGGCGGGCCUCGGGGCCUCUCGUUGCAGGCCGACGGCUGUUGUGGCAGGGCAUCCUGGGUGGUGGUUGAGGUCACCCGCGACGGUUACGUGUUUCUGAAUCGUGGGUGGAAAACCUUCGCCCACUCCCGAGGCCUGAAGGGGAGGGGCGACCUCCUCUGCAAGUACGACGGGGAGGCGACGCUCUUCGUCAAGAUCUUUGGGGUCGAGGGCGAUCGUCUAGGUUGUUGCCCGAAGGACGCCUGCCGUGGCGGUCCGGUGGACAAGCCCGUCUCCGAUGGCAGGCGUCGGUCCCCCAGCAUUAGCGAUUCCUCCUCCAGAAGGAGCCCCAGCGACAGCAGCUACGACGAGCCGCCUCGCUGCCGUGUCUGAGGCUCGGAGAGGAGCCCCCAAGCGCUGCGCCGCCCGUCUGCACCUGCUGCGCCUGUGAAGGAGGAGGAGGACACAAACUGAGUGUCGGCGUGCGGGUGCCGGGCGUCAGCGGCAUCGACCUCCUCCGGGAUCUCCAUCGCUAGCUGUCUCCUCCUUGCUUUUGACCCUGCAUUCAUAGGAACGAGGAUAGGCCCUUCGGGGCGUGUAAUGGAUUUGGGCGGCUGCCUCCUUUUGUUAGUGAUGUUGCUUCUCUGCUGGUUUAGAUACUUAGCUUGGUACAAUUGCGGGGAACUCCUUUGUUGUGACGCAUGACUGUGGUGCUCGGGGUGGGGGGCGUUGGUCGGUUGGUCUUUUCCUUGCUAUAGGUGAAGUGGGUCAAUGCUCUAUGUCUGCUGGCCCCAGUCCCGCACACCUCCCUGCUGCCGUGGGGCGCGACCCGUUACCAAGGUCAUUCCUCAUGGGGCAAAGCCCUGCCACCGGGGUGCCAGGUGGCUUUGUGACCGGUAAGUCUCCUGAGGCACUGUGCUCAGGAGCCCCUUAUACAUUCAAGCGGCUCUACGUCGACAAGUCCCAGUCCCGCUCAUUUCCCUGCCGCGAGGCGUGACUUGUCAAGGUCGCCCCUCGCGGGACAAGGCCCUGGCACCCGGGUACCAACUGGCUUUGCGACCGAUAAGGUUCCAGAGGCGUGAUGCUCAGGAGCCCCCUUAGAUAUUCAAGAGGCCCUAGUGAGUUUUGUUUUUGGAGGUCCCUAACCUGCAUUUAGGAAGUUCUGCGUCGGCAGGCUCCAAUCCCGCACAUUUCCCCGCCGUCGUGAGGAGCAACCCAUUACCAAGGUGGUUCCUCACGGGGCCAGGCCCUGGCACCGGGGUGCUAGGUGUCUUUGUGACCGGUAAGGCUCCCGAGGCGUUGUGCUCAAGAGCCCCCUUAGGCGCUUAAAUUGUCCCAUGAUAAACAACUGUUGUGACGAAAGACCAAAUGUUGUUCCCUCUCCAGGACGGUGCGCCGAGCCGUGAAUAGACCUCUUGAGCAAGUACUAGUUGGCAUGAGUCUGCCGACUCGUCAGUGAAUACCACACGUGGAUUCGGGCGCCAAGGCCUUGCCGAGGUGCCGACAUCGUGCCCCCAGCCCCUGAUCGCGGGGUACGAGCAGGUGAGUGCAGACGGAUGCUCGACUCGGAGGAAAAGAACGUGCUGCGAAGAGUUGCAGGGAAAAUGAGUUUUUGUAGAAAGCUUCAUUUGGAAAGGCCCCGAGUUUUGAUUUCAUAAAUAUCAGUAAAUCCAAGCCAGAAAAAGCAAAUGCAAGCCAUGUCCGGCACCUAAUCUAUUCUCCGCCUCCAUCGCCCCCAUCGCUGAGCAUAGGGCUUCCACUAGGCGUGGGGUGGACCCUUUCCGCGUCCUCGGGUGGCCCUGGGCGUAUACAGCCUCGGCUCGUUAUUACGUGAGAGUGUCAGGGUGGGGGUGUAUCUGGGAGGUCACGAGGACGCUUUGGCCUCACGAGUGUCCCUACCCCCGAGGCAUUAGGUGUCGGAUUCUGGAAGUCAUUGGUGGACUGUAUUGAUUUCCUCCGUCUUCCCCACUAGGCGUGGGAUGGACCCCUUCCGCUUCCUCGGGGGGACCUGGGUUUAUACAACCCCGACUCGGAGGCAGUGCAUGGGCGGUGUAGAGUCGUCAUAGGUAGAACUUAGGGAGGUGCUGGAUGUUCCAGGCAUUCUGGAUGGGAACUCCAUCUUGAGUCUCCAGACGGACGGAGCUAGGCCUGGAGACAUGGACGACGUUGAAUGGGCCUUCCCACAUGGGCGAAAGCUUAUGCGAGCCUUCCUUGGAUUGGACCCGCCUCAAGACGAGAUCGCCGACUUCGAGGGUCUUGGAGCGGAUGUUGCAGCAAUGGUAGCGCCGCAAAUGCCUGUUGGCACCUUGCGUCUCAGAGAGAGGCCCAGUGGCGCACCUCCUCUCCAAGUACGAGGUCGGUCCCCCGCGCAGCCUCCUGACGCUCGUCAUCGAACGCCAAGACUCGCGGGGAGAGGUGCUUGAUUUCGUGGGGAAGAAUCGCCUCUGCUCCCUAGGCGAGGAAGAACGGGGUUUCGCCGGUGGGUGUUGUUGCAAUGGUGGGGAGGGACCGCAGUACUGACAGGAGCUCAUCGACCCAACCUCGGCCGCAAGUUUCGAGCUUCAUCUUGAAACUCCUCACUUUGAGACCCUGCAGGACCUCUACAUUGGCACGCUCCGCCUGGCCAUUGCUCCGUGGAUGGGCCACAAAUGCGUAGCAUAUCUGUGUACCGAGGUUAGCACAGUAAAUCUUGAAGAGCUUACUGGUGAACCGUGAACCAUUAUCAGUGAUGAUGCGGUUGGGGACGCCGAAACAACUCACGAGGCCCUUGAUGAACUUGACGACAGACCCGGCUCGGAUGGUGCGCAUGGGCUCCACCUCCGCCCACUUGGUGAAUUUGUUGAUGGUGACGUAGAGGUAGCGGAAGCCCCAUGCGGCUUGUGGGAAGGGCCCCAAUAUGUCCAGCCCCUAUACCACAAAAGGCUAGGUGAGCGGGAUGGUCUGGAGGCCAUGCACAGGCUAGUGGAUCUGCUUGUGGUGGAACUGGCAGGCCUCGCAAGACCUGACCAGCUCGGUGGCGUUGUCCAGAGCUGUGGGCCAAUAAAAACCUGACCUGAACGCCUUACCUGCGAGCGUGCGCGAGGAGGAGUGAUGUCCGCAGUCCCCUCCGUGAAUGUCGGCCAGUAGCCGCGCCCCUCCUCCCUGGAGAUGCAUCGUAGCGCGACAUUGUUCGGGCACAUGUUGUACAAGGCGCCGUCUCGCACGCAGUAGGUUGAGGCUUGUCGUACUAUGCAUUCCACAUCUUCUUCCUUCUCCGGCAAUGUGCCGCGGAGCAGAUAUGCUCCGAGUUCUUGCAUCCAAUCAUCAUCUUGAGCCUCCAUGACCAGGAGUAGACGAGCCCCCGAGGCCUCGCCGCAGUUCGGAGCCCCUGUGGGCGGUGCUGGGGGGAGCUCCUCUCUAUGCGACACCGGGUCCUUAGGUGACAGCAUCGUGGAAGGCUUGAAGAGUCGCUCCUCGAAAACGCUUAGCUCUUGAGCCUCGUGAUGCGAAGCUCUUUUGGUGAUGUCAUCUGCCUCCUUGUUUUCGCCUUACAGGACGUGCUGCAACUCUAGGCCUUGAAAACGUAUCUCGAUCUUAUGUACCUCCUGCAGAUACACCUUCAUAUGCUCAUCCUUGGGUGUGUACUCCUUGUUGGAGAAGUUGACGAGGAGCUGAGAGUCGCCCAUCAUGGUGAGGCGCUGGACCCCCAAGGCUGCCGCUGCCUUGAGGCCAACGAUGAGGACCUCGUACUACGCUAUGUUCUUGGAGACCUGCUCCCCCCGUUGGAAGUGGAGUUGCACGGCGUAGCAAAGCUUAUCUCCAAUCGGGGAAGUGAGCAGGACACCAGCCCCCGCUCCCAUUCGCGCGAAGGAUCCGUUGAAGUGCAUUGUCCAUCCCUCAGGCGCCUCUACUCCGGGGGCAAGCUAUUGACUCCCUUCCAGCCCCCGGUCUGGUGUGUCCGUCCAUUCCGCCAUGAAGUUGGCCAGGGCAGCUCCCUUGACGACCCUGGUCGUGGUGAAUUCGAUGUUGAAGGCCUGAAGCUCGAUGUUCCACUCAGCAACUCUUCCUGCUGCGUUUUGGUUGUGCGGGAUCUUCUCCAAGGGGUAAGCGGAGACGACCUUGAUUGGGUGUCCUUGGAAGUAGUGACGCGGUUUGAGCGAGGCGACGAGGAGCGCCACAAGGACUUUCUGCUGCAUGGGGUAGCGCGAGCGCGCACCCCGCAGUACCGUGCUGAUGAAGUACACGGACUGCUCGACGAGGACGCGACCGCCCGGGCGUCGUGCUCCUUGGUGGCUUCAGGAGGUUGGGAUGCUUCUUCAUCCAGAGGAAAAGCCAGGGCCUUGGGAGGACAAGGGNNNNNNNNNNNNNNNNNNNNNNNNNNNNNNNNNNNNNNNNNNNNNNNNNNNNNNNNNNNNNNNNNNNNNNNNNNNNNNNNNNNNNNNNNNNNNNNNNNNNAAUAUGCCCUAGAGGCAAUAAUAAAUUAGUUAUUAUUAUAUUUCUUAGUUCAUGAUAAUCGUUUAUUAUCCAUGCUAUAAUUGUAUUGAUUGGAAACACAAUACUUGUGUGGAUACAUAGACAAAACACUGUCCCUAGUAAGCCUCUAGUUAACUAGCUCGUUGAUCAAAGAUGGUCAAGGUUUCCUGGCCAUAGGCAAGUGUUGUCACUUGAUAACGGGAUCACAUCAUUAGGAGAAUCAUGUGAUGGACUAGACCCAAACUAAUAGACGUAGCAUGUUGAUCGUGUCAUUUUGUUGCUACUGUUUUCUGCGUGUCAAGUAUUUGUUCCUAUGACCAUGAGAUCAUAUAACUCACUAACACCGAAGGAAUACUUUGUGUGUAUCAAACGUCGCAACGUAACUGGGUGACUAUAAAGAUGCUCUACAGGUAUCUCCGAAGGUGUUAGUUGAGUUAGUAUGGAUCGAGACUGGGAUUUGUCACUCCGUGUGACGGAGAGGUAUCUCGGGGCCCACUCGGUAAUACAACAUCACAAACAAGCCUUGCAAGCAAUGUAACUUAGUGUAAGUUGCGGGAUCUUGUAUUACGGAACGAGUAAAGAGACUUGCCGGUAAACGAGAUUGAAAUAGGUAUGCGGAUACUAACGAUUGAAUCUCGGGCAAGUAACAUACCGAAGGACAAAGGGAAUGACAUACGGGAUUAUAUGGAUCCUUGGCACUGAGGUUCAAACGAUAAGAUCUUCAUAGAAUAUGUAGGAUCCAAUAUGGGCAUCCAGGUCCCGCUAUUGGAUAUUGACCGAGGAGUCUCUCGGGUCAUGUCUACAUAGUUCUCGAACCCGUAGGGUCUGCACACUUAAGGUUCGACGUUGUUUUGUGCGUAUUUGAGUUAUAUGGUUGGUUACCGAAUGUUGGUCGGAGUCCCGGAUGAGAUCACGGACGUCACGAGGGUUUCCGGAAUGGUCCGGAAACGAAGAUUGAUAUAUAGGAUGACCUCAUUUGAUUACCGGAAGGUUUUCGGAGUUACCGGGAAUGUACCGGGAAUGACGAAUGGGUUCCGGGAGUUCACCGGGGGGGCAACCCACCCCGGGGAAGCCCAUAUGCCUUGAGGGUGGCACACCAGCCCUUAGUGGGCUGGUGGGACAGCCCAAAAGGGCCCUAUGCGCCUAGGAAAGAAAAUCAAAGAGAAAAGAAGAAAAAAGAGAGGAGGUGGGAAGGGAAGGAAGGACUCCCACCCACCAAACCAAGUCCAACUCGGUUUGGGGGGGGGGAGCCUUCCCCCUUGGACUCGNNNNNNNNNNNNNNNNNNNNNNNNNNNNNNNNNNNNNNNNNNNNNNNNNNNNNNNNNNNNNNNNNNNNNNNNNNNNNNNNNNNNNNNNNNNNNNNNNNNNAUGUCAUGAAUGCAAAAUGCAUGUAGCCAAUAAUAACAAACAUUUUAAUCAUUAAUACAACAUGAUAUUAUAAAACUACAUAAAAUUCUAGGCAAGUUUCACUACUCAAAACAGAAAAUUUUCCAUGUGCCUAAUCUUUGCCGUCAGCUAGCUGUCGGCAAAGAAGAUCUUUGUCGUCAGCUUACAACUGGCACACGACAAAGAGAAGGCUGAUGGCAUAGAGAUUGUUUGCCAUCUGCCAUUUAUUUGCCAUCUGCUGGCACAUGCCAAAGAGACCAAAGGCAGACGGCAAAGAGGUGCUAGCUCUUUGCUGUCCGCUGGCGGACGACAAAUAAAAUUAUGGCAGACGGCAAAGGGNNNNNNNNNNNNNNNNNNNNNNNNNNNNNNNNNNNNNNNNNNNNNNNNNNNNNNNNNNNNNNNNNNNNNNNNNNNNNNNNNNNNNNNNNNNNNNNNNNNNNNNNNNNNNNNNNNNNNNNNNNNNNNNNNNNNNNNNNNNNNNNNNNNNNNNNNNNNNNNNNNNNNNNNNNNNNNNNNNNNNNNNNNNNNNNNNNNNNNNNNNNNNNNNNNNNNNNNNNNNNNNNNNNNNNNNNNNNNNNNNNNNNNNNNNNNAUGGCAGACGGCAAAGGGCUCCCCAUGCGCUCCUAACGUCCGUUUUCCACCCCACCCCCCCCACCCCUUUGUCAUUCGUCCCCGGACAGCAAAGGGCUCACCUCCCACCCGCUCCUAAGAGCCGAGCUCCUCCAAUGCACCCCAACCCCCACUCCCGCUCCACCCCCUCUCUCUCUCACCCAGCCACCCGCGCCGCCGCCCCCCUCCCACCAGCUCCCUCCCGGCCGCCGCCCAUCUACACCUCCCUCGCGCUGGCGACCCCCUCCCUAUGUGGCCCCUGCCUAGCCCCACCUCCCUCGAGGCGCCGCCCCUCCCACCUGCUGCCUCCCGGCCGCCGCGCCCCUCCCACGUCCCUCCCCGCUGUUGCCCCAGCCCCACCUCCCUCCCGGCCGCCUCCCCNNNNNNNNNNNNNNNNNNNNNNNNNNNNNNNNNNNNNNNNNNNNNNNNNNNNNNNNNNNNNNNNNNNNNNNNNNNNNNNNNNNNNNNNNNNNNNNNNNNNAUUUCAUGAAUGAGGAAUUUCCUCAAAAGAAAUUUCCUCAGUGACGAAUUCAUAAAAAUCGCCUAUUCAACCCCCCUCUAGUCGAUAUAAGACUAUUUCAAUUUUAGAUCUAGUGGAAAACUUGGGAUACAAAAAAUUCCCCUAGCCUCUCUCAAAUUCUAAUCUAUCAUUGUUUCCUUUUGUAUAUUGUCUUGAGUGUCCCGAGAGAUCCGUAAGUCCAAAUUUGGCGUUCUUUAUAUGCAUUAGCAUCGUUUCCAUUUGUAGCAUCCAUUUUAUUCAUGGUCAUGCAUGCACAAAUAAUUAAUCUUGAGGUUCCAUCGAGAAUGUAAAUAACUAAAUAACUUGCAUGUAAAUAUGACUAGUGUAGGAUUGCCAUGCUAAAUUCACCACAUCAUCAUGCAUCAUAAUUGUUUGUGCAUUAUACCAUAGUUGUGUGUUUAUUGGAUGUUGUCAUUUCCUUUGGGUAGCAUCGAGUGCCGAUAAUGAGUAUGAGGAACCUAUAGAGAGCGCAUUCGAAGAGCAAGCUUACUAUUCCACCGAAGAAGCGCAAGGCAAGAUGAUCAUUACCCUCGAUAUUGUUUCUAAUUUUUCCAUGAUAGUUGUCUCAUUUCUACCGCUAUGUCUCGCUGCCUACCAUUGUAUGUCAAGCCUACCAACUUGCCAUGAUAAGCCUCUAACCCUCCACAUUCUAGCAAACCAUUGUUUGGCUAAGUUACCGCUUGCUCAGCCCUUCUUAUAGUUGUAGGUGCAUGUAGAUCCAUGUGAUAACAUGGAUAUCUUUAGGAUAUCACAUUAUUCUUGCUAUUUGAUUUAAUGAACAUAUAUACUUGGCAAGAGGUGGAAGUCUUGGCCUUUUUCUUGGUGUUGUGUUCCACCUUUGCUGCCAUAGUUUCUGAUUACCGGUGUUAUGUUCCAUAUUGAGCGCUCCUGACAUGCUUGGGGUUAUUACGGGG